UACCAGCACCCCGAGUGGUCGGGACGUUUUAUUGGGCCUAAAGCAUCCGUAGCCGGUUCUACAAGUCUUCCGUUAAAUCCACCUGCUUAACAGAUGGGCUGCGGAAGAUACUAUAGAGCUAGGAGGCGGGAGAGGCAAGCGGUACUCGAUGGGUAGGGGUAAAAUCCGUUGAUCCAUUGAAGACCACCAGUGGCGAAGGCGGCUUGCCCAGAACGCGCUACGGACGGUGAGGGAUGAAAGCUGGGGGGAGCAAACCGG
rnacentral:rRNA from 1 species